rnacentral:rRNA from 1 species
UACGUAGGGUGCAAGCGUUGCCCGGAAUUAUUGGGCGUAAAGAGCUCGUAGGCGGUCUGUCGCGUCGAAUGUGAAAACCCGGGGCUCAACCCCGGGCCUGCAUUCGAUACGGGCAGACUAGAGUUCGGUAGGGGAGUCUGGAAUUCCUGGUGUAGCGGUGAAAUGCGCAGAUAUCAGGAGGAACACCGUGGCGAAGGCAGCUCGCUGGGACGGUACUGACGCUGAGACGCGAAAGCGUGGGGAGCGAACAGG